UAGGUACCCAACCGAAGAAGUCCCGGCUAACUUCGUGCCAGCAGCCGCGGUAAUACGAAGGGGGCUAGCGUUACUCGGAAUUAUUGGGCGUAAAGCGUGCGUAGGCUGCUUAGUAAGUCAAAAGUGAAAGCCUUGGGCUCAACCUAAGAAUUGCUUUUGAAACUACUAAGCUUGAGUACUGUAGGGGGUAGCGGAACUCCUAGUGUAGGGGUGAAAUUCGUAGAUAUUAGGAGGAACACCGGAGGCGAAAGCGGUUAUCUGGACAGUCACUGACGCUGUUGCACGAAAGCGUGGGGAGCAAACAGGNUUAGAUACCCUGGUAGUCCACGCUGUAAACGAUGAGUGCUAAA
rnacentral:rRNA from 1 species